UACGGGGGGGGCAAGCGUUGUUCGGAAUUACUGGGCGUAAAGGGCUCGUAGGUGGCCAACUAAGUCGGACGUGAAAUCCCUCAGCUUAACUGGGGAACUGCGUCCGAUACUGGAUGGCUCGAGUUUGGGAGAGGGAUGCGGAAUUCCAGGUGUAGCGGUGAAAUGCGUAGAUAUCGAGAGGAACACCAGUGGCGAAGGCGAGUCCCUGGACAUCUCCUGACACUGAGGCACGAAAGCUAGGGGAGCAAACAGG
rnacentral:rRNA from 1 species